UACACCUGUUAAAAGUGUUACAAAAAAGCGGAGACGAGUAUUGUCGAGUUUGUGGUGAAUUUGUUAUUCACAGUGGGCAUUUUAGUAUAUACAGUAAAAGGAUCGUCGCCUCGGUAGAUUGAACUUUGAAGCAUUUCUUGUUCAUCAUAUAAUACAAACGAAUAUUUGCCGUCCAAGGCCCUGUUUAUAUGGAGGCGAGUUACUCUGCAAUUGGCGAAUAGAACUUAUCUAAUGAUUCGUGUGUAUUUU